ACUCAAAUGAAUAGACGGGGGCCUGCACAAGCGGUGGAGUAUGUGGCUCAAUUCGAUGCAACGCGAAGAACCUUACCUGGCCUUGACAUGUACGUAGUAGAAGGGUGAAAGCCUGACGAGGUAGCAAUACCAGCGUACACAGGUGCUGCAUGGCUGUCGUCAGCUCGUGUCGUGAGAUGUUGGGUUAAGUCCCGCAACGAGCGCAACCCUUGCGUCCUGUUGCCCCUCCUGCGAGAGCAGGAAGCACUCUGGACGGACUGCCUCAUUUAAAUGAGGAGGAAGGUGGGGAUGACGUCAAGUCAGUAUGGCCCUUACGGCCAGGGCUGCACACGUACUACAAUGCCCGGCACAGAGGGAAGCAAGACCGUAAGGUGGAGCAAAUCCCAAAAAACCGGGCCCAGUUCAGAUUGUCGUCUGCAACUCGACGGCAUGAAGCUGGAAUCGCUAGUAAUGGCGCAUCAGCUACGGCGCCGUGAAUACGUUCCCAGGCCUUGUACACACCGCCCGU
rnacentral:rRNA from 1 species